CAAAUCAUACACUGUAAUUUGAACUACAGAUUAGACUGAUGCAUCAAAUAUUAUGUACAUCUAAAGUAUGAAUUGUUCUCCUUUUAAGAUAUCCAUGAACAUUCAGUAGACAUUUUAGUUCCAUUGCCCACGACCAAUUGCCAAUCAUGAACCCUAAGAAACGGGAUCAAGGAGUCAAUAUUGAACGUCAAAAUCGAAAGAAGAAAUAUUAUGGUACAUACAUGUAGCUCUGGGGACCUCGGUACCUCUCCCUAGUGCACUGCGGCGUCACAUGAAGCCACCCAGCAGCCAACAAACCAGAUUGAUCUGUCAAAAGUAGAUUCCAAAUCAGCAUCCCCUGUAAAUCAAACAGGGGUUUCUUCCAUAGAGUGUAUAUGUCACAGCACCGCAACAGUACACACUCCCCAAUGUUAGUAGCAGAAUCCCGUGCAUCCAUAUUUUGCAGAGGCGGCGAGGUGCUCAUCCACGACUAGCUGUCGAUGGCAUCCAGUGCAUGGCUGUGUCCAUGGCAAGUUGUUCCGACGACCACGCGAUAGCAACAUCCUUUUCUCCUUCCCUGACUUCUCUUGGGCCCCAUCAUCAGUGGACGGUGAGAAGGACCAACACAUUCACGGCCUAGCUGCAGAACUUGAGGUCAUGGCCAAAAGAGCUUGCAGGGAACCAGGAGAGCACGCAUAUUAUAGACCUGGGAACACAAAAAUCCAUAACUUAAUUCUUAUAGCAUGUAAAAUAUCUUUGCUUGGUUGUAGCUUUGACCAAAUCACCAGAAGAAUGGGCACCAGAUUGCCGCAUGAGUGCAGAUUAGCAUUUAUUUUAAGUGCCAUUAUGAUGGCCUUUGAAGGUAUGCUUUGUUUGGAUUUCAGUUUGAGAAUUCUACAAAAUAACUACAAAAAAACUAUCUUAAAUACCAUUGUUAUCCCUUAAAAAAAUCUCAGUGUAAUGAAAAUCUACUCCCUCCGUUCCUAAAUAUUUGUCUUUCUAGAGAUUUCAACAAGUGACUAUAUACGGAGCAAAAUGAGUGAAUCUUCACUCUAAAAUAUGACUAUAUACAUCCGUAUGUGGUAGUCCAUUUGAAAUAUCUAAAAAGAUAAAUAUUUAGGAACAAAGGGAGUAUAUAAGAAAAGCUAUGCAUCUAGGAACAUGCACAUCCCUUCUGAAUAAUCAUUAGAUCACUACACUCUUAACAUAAGGAUGUAAGUGCACAGAGAGGACAUGAUCAGCAAUGGAAAAGGCAAAUUUGCAGAUAGUAAAUAACCUUCUAUAGUUAGAUUAUAUACACUAAGAGAAUAUGGAACAAAAUGAUUCACAAAAUGUACAAAAACUUAACUCUACAGCCUCCAGUGCAUGCUAUAAAAAACUUAAAAUCCCUAUGUUCUCUUUGUGAAAAUGCCCGUGCGUUGUAGUAGUCCAUCUAGGAAAAGAAUAUGUCCUGCACUCUGUCAGCUUCCUGCAGAAGUACGAGCAAGAGAUGGGCGAUGCGAUGGAAAAGAAGAGUUCAGAGAAGGGAAAGGAACAACUAUCCCCGUCGUUUACCACAUAAAUACCUCCUUCACUGCCACCCAUACAGUGGA
rnacentral:lncRNA from 1 species